CUGUAAAAAAUUUCCGGGAUUUCACAAGAUGUAACUGUGAUAUUUCACAGUUAAUUACAUUAUUAGCAUGUCACAGGCUUUAGCUGUGACAUUUCACAAUAUAGUACAGUAUUCAGACUUUUAUUGUGAAAAUAAUGCCAUCGGCGAAAUCACAGGGAACGGCUGUAAGUUCCGACGCGCGCUAUCUGUUUGGGUUCUCUCAUCUCUGCGGUCUCAUCCAACGGAUUCAGUGCAUCUUUCUGCGGUAUCCACCGGGGAGUAAAGUUAUGAGGUAUUUUUUCCACACUUCACAAGGAUGGGGACAUCACUCAGAAGAGUAAAGUUUCGAGAAGCCCUGGAUAACAACUACAAUAACAUUCUGAAGUUCGUCCAAGGAGUCAACUAUCAUCAACGGGGUGCUUCUUGGGCAUUAAUUCGGAGACAGACAGGCAGAAAGGACAGAAACAACAAGCUGCAAGUCUGUACACUGAUUAGAAAACUUAUGACUUGAAUGGAUGUCAGUCUAGUGUGUCACAAAUACUAGUUCUUUGUUUAGCUAGAGGCGAUUGUACACUUUGUACUCUUACAAUGUUCUAUAUCAGGAGUCUC